GACGAACGCUGGCGGCGUGCUUAACACAUGCAAGUCGAACGGAAAGGCCCUGCUUUUGUGGGGUGCUCGAGUGGCGAACGGGUGAGUAACACGUGAGUAACCUGCCCUUGACUUUGGGAUAACUUCAGGAAACUGGGGCUAAUACCGGAUAGGAGCUCCUGCUGCAUGGUGGGGGUUGGAAAGUUUCGGCGGUUGGGGAUGGACUCGCGGCUUAUCAGCUUGUUGGUGGGGUAGUGGCUUACCAAGGCUUUGACGGGUAGCCGGCCUGAGAGGGUGACCGGCCACAGUGGGACUGAGAUACGGCCCAGACUCCUACGGGAGGCAGCAGCGGGGAAUAUUGCACAAUGGGCGGAAGCCUGAUGCAGCAACGCCGCGUGCGGGAUGACGGCCUUCGGGUUGUAAACCGCUUUCGCCUGUGACGAAGCGUGAGUGACGGUAAUGGGUAAAGAAGCACCGGCUAACUACGUG
rnacentral:rRNA from 1 species